rnacentral:rRNA from 1 species
UAACACGUAAGGGGCAAGCGUUGUUCGGAUUUAUUGGGCGUAAAGGGCGUGUAGGCGGCAGUACAAGUCUGGUGUGAAAUACUCCGGCUCAACCGGAGAGACGCGCUGGAAACUGUACUGCUAGAGUUUAGGAGGGGGAGCUGGAAUUCCUGGUGUAGGGGUGAAAUCUGUAGAGAUCAGGAAGAACACCGGAGGCGAAGGCGAGCUCCUGGCCAUAGACUGACGCUGAGGCGCGAAAGCGUGGGGAGCGAACAGGAUUAGAUACCCUGGUAGUCCACGCUGUAAACGAUGUGCACUAGGUGUUGGGGAUGAUGAUCCUCAGUGCCGCAGCUAACGCGAUAAGUGCACCGCCUGGGGAGUAUGCUCGCAAGGGUG